UCUCUGUCGCCAACACUGGCAUCUUCUCUUUGGCCUCUUCCAGCUUCAGGAUCUUCGAUCUCUUCAUUGGCCUGGCCGCGAUGACGUAACUCCAGUGCAGCCGCACAGAAGCUCAUUCAUCAUGGCAGCUGGCAAAUGCCAGUAUUGUACACUGACCUGCAGUUUAAGAAGUUUGCAAAGGGAAAGUGAAGGGCUCUUCAUUCUCCUAGCAGUAUGCGAUGAAAUGUCCCUAUAGAAUUCACAGAUUUUCAAGACUUGUCACCUCAACAAAGAAGAUAAUCCCUACUGAGAUAAAAAUUGAUUAGAAGUCACAGCAAACAGCAACUUUAAAUUUGAUGGAGACAGAGCAUGGCAUUUCUGCUGUUGUGUUAAAGACCUUUGGGUACUGCUAAUUCCUGCACUAGAUUGAAGCCUGGGAGCAUUCAUAUCUAUAGGGGUGCAGGUGGACUAACCUUUUAAAGGAUAAGUGCAAAAUAAAAAUUAACACUUCCCUGUCUCCCACAUAAAAUAAUACUUAUGUCUGCAAAAAAACUACAUUACAAUUAGGUUACGUGGCCAUGGAUAGCGUCUCAACUAUUCUGGAUUUUUUUUGUUUUGAAUUGGGUUAAAAAGAGUACAUACUUCUAUCUAUAUUUUAUUCCUGUUUUUUUGCUUCUCCAAGCUAAGCAUUGAAGGUCUGAUCUCUAUAACUGAUCCAGUUGUGGCAAAAUAGCUGUAACUUACAGUCUCCGUAGAAUUGGCAAACAAUAACUCAAUCCAAAUGACAUUUUGCAGUUUGUAAAAUGCUUUAAUCCAAAACGUGUGCAGAUGUGGACAGAUGAACAUCAGAUAGGUCACAAAAAUCCUAAUAUUUCUAGCUCCAGCAAUUACAUGUGCUCCAAAUAGAAACUAAAAACAUAUUGAAGGAGGGUGGUACUAAUUGUACAGAGUUAUUUAAAAGCAAACAACAUGAUACUCCCCUUCGAAGUCUAUGAUUUAAAUACUAAAACAAUUGAGAAU